rnacentral:rRNA from 1 species
AUUGAACGCUGGCGGCAUGCUUUACACAUGCAAGUCGAACGGUAACAGGCCUUCGGGUGCUGACGAGUGGCGAACGGGUGAGUAAUGCAUCGGAACGUGCCCAGUGGUGGGGGAUAACGCAUCGAAAGCUGUGCUAAUACCUCAUGUGAUCUGAGGAUUAAAGCGGGGUACCUGGCAGCAAUGUUUGGCCUCUCGCCUUUGGAGCGGCCGAUGUCAGAUUAGGUAGUUGGUGGGGUAAAGGCCUACCAAGCCGACGAUCUGUAGCUGGUCUGAGAGGACGACCAGCCACACUGGGACUGAGACACGGCCCAGACUCCUACGGGAGGCAGCAGUGGGGAAUUUUGGACAAUGGGCGAAAGCCUGAUCCAGCAAUGCCGCGUGCGGGAAGAAGGCCUUCGGGUUGUAAACCGCUUUUGUAAGGAACGAAAAGGCUCUGGCUAAUACCUGGGGCUGAUGACGGUACCGUAAGAAUAAGCACCGGCUAACUACGUG